ACGAACGCUGGCGGCGUGCUUAACACAUGCAAGUCGAGCGGUAAGGCCCUUUCGGGGGUACACGAGCGGCGAACGGGUGAGUAACACGUGGGUGACCUGCCUCUAGCUCUGGGAUAAGCCUGGGAAGCUGGGUCUAAUACCGGAUAUGACCUCGCGGUGCAUGUUGCGGGGUGGAAAGCCUUGUGCGGCUAGGGAUGGGCCCGCGGCCUAUCAGCUUGUUGGUGGGGUGAUGGCCUACCAAGGCGACGACGGGUAGCCGGCCUGAGAGGGCGACCGGCCACACUGGGACUGAGACACGGCCCAGACUCCUACGGGAGGCAGCAGUGGGGAAUCUUGCGCAAUGGGCGAAAGCCUGACGCAGCGACGCCGCGUGAGGGAUGAC
rnacentral:rRNA from 1 species